CUGCCUCUUCCUUACCACAGGUCUGUCAGUGUGUUGAUAGUCCUGUCAUUGCCAAGAGGCAGAUUAAAUACUAAGUGGACUUUUUUCUCAGUUUACGUUAUGUAACUGAGGUGGUGCAUUUAGCAGACAUU